rnacentral:rRNA from 1 species
UACGAAGGGUGCAAACGUUGCUCGGAAUCAUUGGGCGUAAAGCGCACGUAGGCGGCCUUGUAAGUCGGAUGUGAAAUCCCACGGCUUAACCGUGGAAGUGCAUCCGAAACUGCGAGGCUCGAGUAUGGAAGAGGGUCGCAGAAUUUCCGGUGUAGAGGUGAAAUUCGUAGAUAUCGGGAGGAAUACCAGUGGCGAAGGCGGCGACCUGGGCCAAUACUGACGCUGAGGUGCGAAAGCGUGGGGAGCAAACAGG